GGGGAUUUAGCUCAGUGGUAGAGCGCUUGCCGAGCAAGUGCAAGGCCCUGGGUUCAGUCCCCA
rnacentral:tRNA from 1 species